GUGAACGUUACCAAACUGUUGCCUCGGCGGGGUCACGCCCCGGGUGCGUCGCAGCCCCGGAACCAGGCGCCCGCCGGAGGAACCAACCAAACUCUUUCUGUAGUCCCCUCGCGGACGUAUUUCUUACAGCUCUGAGCAAAAAUUCAAAAUGAAUCAAAACUUUCAACAACGGAUCUCUUGGUUCUGGCAUCGAUGAAGAACGCAGCGAAAUGCGAUAAGUAAUGUGAAUUGCAGAAUUCAGUGAAUCAUCGAAUCUUUGAACGCACAUUGCGCCCGCCAGUAUUCUGGCGGGCAUGCCUGUCCGAGCGUCAUUUCAACCCUCGAACCCCUCCGGGGGAUCGGCGUUGGGGAUCGGGACCCCUCACACGGGUGCCGGCCCCGAAAUACAGUGGCGGUCUCGCCGCAGCCUCUCCUGCGCAGUAGUUUGCACAACUCGCACCGGGAGCGCGGCGCGUCCACGUCCGUAAAACACCCAACUUUCUGAAAUGUUGACCUCGGAUCAGGUAGGAAUACCCGCUGAACUUAAGCAUAUCAAUAAGCGGAG
rnacentral:rRNA from 1 species